GACAGAGCGAAACUCCAUCUCAAAAAAAAAAAAAAAAAAAAAAAAAAAAGAAUGAAUAAGACCUAGUAUUUGACAGCACAAUAGGGCGGCUACAAUCAAUAAUAAUUUAAUUGUACAUUUUAAAAUAACUAAGAGUAUAAUAGGAUUUUUUGUAACACAAAAUACAAAUGCUUGUGGUAACUGAUACCCAAUUUACGCUGAUGUGAUUAUUACACAUUGCAUGCCUGUAUCAAAAUACCUCAGAGGCAGAGGUUGCAGUGAGCCAACAUCACGCCACUGCGCUCCAGCCUGGGCAACAGAGUGAGACUCUGUCUCAAAAACAACAACAAAAAAAAAGGUGUAGUUGGUACGAGUUGCUAAUCUUUUUGACCUGGACCACUACUCUAUAAGCCUGAUAUGCAUUCAAA
rnacentral:lncRNA from 10 species